UAAACUUCUCGUAAAACGCAAGCUGUUGGGUGACAGAUUGGAACAAACAAAGGUCAGCUUAUUCCGCUUCAAGAUCCACAUCGGCAGCUCGAAUAUAUCGGUUAUAUUUACGUAAACGUGACCAGUUGCCAGCUACCGCCAGUUGCGCUUAUAAUAAAACAUUACACCGUAAUCAAUUCAAUUACAGGAAAAUAAACAUUUUUGGAGCAUCGGUUGCAGCGAGGCGUCGUUUUGUUUCUUCAUUCGUAAUCAUAGCAUAACAGAACAUGGCUUCAAAGGUCGAAGGAAAAUGAAGAAGGGGAUAACAUUAAUAAAAUUAAACUAUUGUUACGUUUGU
rnacentral:lncRNA from 1 species